UCAUAUGCAAAAUUUUCUUGCAAAACACAUUGCUUCACAUCUGCAUUGGUGAAUGCAUGUACAAUUCAACAUUGAUCUAUGUAAAUUAAGUUCCUCCCAAAAUCCACACAAUUCAGUAAAGUAAUCAAGAACAUAUUUAGAGCCUCGUUUGAGAUUAAUCUCAGCUUGAAGAUUUGAGACGUGAAUUCUAUCAACUUUAGCAAAUUGUUCCUUGAGAUCAAUCCAUGCAUCCAAUGCAUUUUCUAAGAAUGAGAUUGUUUGAGCAAUUGGUUUAGUGACUGAGUUAAGGAUUCAUGAAUGAACAAGAUAGAUGCAACACUCCCAUGCAACUUUGUUGAGAUCAAGAAGUUCAAGAACUUGAAUGGAUCCAUCAAUGAAUGUGACUUUGUUCUCACCACUAAGAGCUUGUUGCAUUGAAUGCGGCCAUGACAAAUAAUUGGAGUCAUUCAAAGGAGGUGUGAGCUUUACAGAACUUUGACCUUCACUUGAUGGAUGUUGUAAACAAAAUCGAUAUCACCAUUAGAGACUUGAAUUUGAGGUCAAUUAACACGCGAGUUCAUGAUCAAAAGAACGAAACCAAAACACAAGAUGUGCAAAAAAUGCAAGAAAUAAUGAAGACUGUAGAGACACUAAAGUAAUUUUGCAACUGCAUCUUAUCAAUGUUGAAGAUAAUCAAGGAUCUCAAAAUAAAAAAG
rnacentral:lncRNA from 1 species